rnacentral:piRNA from 1 species
UCUUGCGUACCAAGGUGCGA